rnacentral:misc_RNA from 1 species
AACACUGUUAACCUGCGGUACCUGCGGAGGGAUCAUUACAGAGUUGCAAAACUCCCUAAACCAUUGUGAACGUUACCUAAACCGUUGCUUCGGCGGGCGGCCCGGGUCCUUCCCGGCGCCCCUCGGCCCUCGCGGGCGCCCGCCGGAGGUAAACCAAACUAUUGCAUUGUAUGGCCUCUCUGAGUCUUCUGUACUGAAUAAGUUAAAACUUUCAGCAACGGAUCUCAGAUCGGAAGAGCA